rnacentral:lncRNA from 1 species
UCCAUCUUAGCUUCUUCAGACUCUGCCUCCUCAUCCCCACUCAGAUACAUCUUGGGAUAAUUGUCAUGAUCACUCCCCAGAUUGACCAUGGGUUCGUCUUCUCCCAACUUCUCAACUGAUUUGCUUUGCGCUGGUACCUCGGCUUCUGGCAUUGGUGCAACAGCUGCUAGCAUCUCCGCACUCAUUUGAUCUUCUCUAAACAUCCUACAAUCAGUUUAAAUAACUUGAUUAGUACUUCACCAGUACAAAAAUUCUCACACUAUGUGUCCACAUAUCUCACUAUUGAUGUACUUCGGUAAUCCCUCACUUAGAACUCUACAUGAGUUUUCUCUAUCUCACGUAUGGUUAUAAUUCUGGGCUGCCCAGAAUUUUCUGGUCAAUGCCGGUCAACCCACUUUGACCUUAAAUAACUCUUAAUCCGUAAUAUAUAUGGACCUGAUUCUUUUUGGAGGUUAAAUACCACAUAAAAAGCUACACAUAUCAACCUUUAUAACACAAAACACAUUAAAGAUGACCGAGAUAUAAGGCCUGA